GAGUUUGAUCCUGGCUCAGGAUGAACGCUAGCGACAGGCCUAACACAUGCAAGUCGAGGGGCAGCACAAGGGUAGCAAUAUUCUGGUGGCGACCGGCGCACGGGUGAGUAACACGUAUGCAACCUACCUGUAAGAGGGGAAUAACCCGGAGAAAUUCGGACUAAUACCGCAUAAUACUUAUAAGCUGCAUGGCUUGUAAGUUAAACAUUUAUGGCUUACAGAUGGGCAUGCGUAACAUUAGAUAGUUGGUGAGGUAACGGCUCACCAAGUCAACGAUGUUUAGGGGUUCUGAGAGGAAGGUCCCCCACACUGGUACUGAGACACGGACCAGAUC
rnacentral:rRNA from 1 species